AAACAUUAUACCUCUAUAUAUCCACACAUUUAACUUCUAUACACAAAUACAAUAAACACCUAUUCACACACUACCCGUAUACACACAAAGCUCCCAUACUACAGUCCCUAAAGAGACACACAAUGAAACCACCAUUAUACACAUAUACAAACACACAGCCUCUCUCUCGACACACACUCUACAAAAUCGCUAAACGCAACCUCUACAACGGACAGGUUACUCACCUCUAGGUGCAUUUACUUGAAAAAGAGGGCCUGCAUUGCAUGAUAUCCUGACACUAUUUUCCAGGACUGUAUAUCUGCACCUUCAUGUGUU